GAUUAUGGCUCAGGAUGAACGCUAGCUACAGGCUUAACACAUGCAAGUCAGGGGCAUCAUGGAGUUUGCUUGCAAACUCUGAUGGCGACCGGCGCACGGGUGAGUAACGCGUAUCCAACCUUCCCUAUAGUAGAGGAUAGCCCGGCGAAAGUCGGAUUAAUACUCUAUGUUUUCCGUUGCAGACAUCUAAGAUGGAACAAAGGCUUGCCGCUAUAGGAUGGGGGAUGCGUCUGAUUAGGUAGUCGGCGGGGUAACGGCCCACCGAGCCAUCGAUCAGUAGGGGUUCUGAGAGGAAGGUCCCCCACAUUGGAACUGAGACACGGUCCAAACUCCUACGGGAGGCAGCAGUGAGGAAUAUUGGUCAAUGGGCGAGAGCCUGAACCAGCCAAGUAGCCGUGCAGGACGACGGCCCUAUGGGUUGUAAACUGCUUUUAUGCGGGGAUAAAGUUCACUACGUGUAGUGUUUUGUAGGUACCGCAUGAAUAAGGACCGGCUAAUUCCGUGCCAGCCGCAGC
rnacentral:rRNA from 1 species